GGUUGGACGGAUAGCAGGAACCAUCCGUUUUCAAGAGAAACCAAGUUUCUGGGGUGGGAAGCU
rnacentral:ncRNA from 12 species